AGAAGUAUUCUUUAAUAGGAUUUAUUAGACUUGCUUUAAUGUUCGUGCAUCUCACGCUAGUUCCUCUUAAAAUUCUUGCCAAAUUUAAACAUUUUCCGUUCGAUAUUCGGAAUCCAUCUGGAUUCGAAUUAGUGCUCACAAAUUCAAUAUAAUCACAAAUGCCAUUGGGCCUGGUUUUCAAAACUUGUGGAGUGCAAAAUUCUGUAAAUUUUAUUCGAUAUCUGCAAGAACAAAGGCAAUAACAUGACAACUUACCUGAAUCUGAAGAAAUUUGCGAAACAUUUUACAAACAUUUGGAUUACCUUGGCUACAUUGGAAUACAUUAUUGUGGAUCCAUUUUAAAGCCAAAUUCUGAUCUUUGAGACCAAAACUACCAGGCAUAUUGUGAUCUCCAGUGGACAGGAAACCUAAGAAAAUAACAUACCCAAUGCUCUCGGUCUAAAAGCCAUUGUGACCAAGAUUACCGACUGUGUGUCCAUAAAAUACUCCGGUCCAGUGAUUGAAGGACCAGUUGACCCGUUAAAGAACCCACUGCCAUGUAUAUAGACCAUUACGGAUGUCCUUAGCUCUGGUCUGUAGACAUUUGAAUAAAAACAAUCCUCUUGUCCGUAUAUUAUUGGAUUAGCUGCUAAAGACAAUUGGAUACAAAUAUAAUUCAACCAAUAAAGCAGUUUAUAAAAAUGAAUCGAAUUUUUGAUCCAACAUUUGGAAAUCUUUGAACAUUCUCGAAAACAGAACCAUGUAACUUCGUAUCGAUUUUAUUGAUUUUAGAUCCCCGAAGGAUGGCCAGGAUUGACAGAGUAACUGAUGCCAGUAAGAAAAGCCACAUUGCAUGAGUAAAUAUUAUCUCUUACCUACAUAUAACAGCAACAUCCGGAGAAGAGGAUUGUCUCUAUUAAAAUGUCUACAGAAUAGUGAUUUGCGUUUGCCCAUCAUGGUCUAUAUACAUGCAAGUAGAUUCUUUGUUGGAUCAGCUGAUCCUUCAAGCAGUGGUCCAGAGUAUUUUAUGAAUUCACAAGCUGUAAUCUUGGCCACAGUGACUUAUAGAGUUGGAGUUUUGGGUUUUCUUUCCACUGAUGAUCACAAUAUGCCUGGUAAUUUUGGUCUCAAAGACCAGAAUUUGGCAUUAAUGUGGUUCCGAGAUAAUUUAUAUACUUACAACGUCGGCGAAAAGUGACCUUAUUAGGUCAAGGUAUUACUGGAAUUGCCAUUCAUUUGAGUUUAUUGAAUCGCAGCUUCAUAUUUGCAUGAGUCGCGCCACAAAUCCCUCUGGAUGAAGCUCUAAACGUUGCAGAAGUUUGUAAUAUUGCAAAUGCAGGAACUAUAAGUGAAGAAGAUCUCGAAUCUUUAUUUAAUGUAGGAGACUCCUUUAUAUAUUAGAUGGUAGAUCCGUAUCAGCACUACAGACAUAGUUAUUGAAAAAAAGACCAGAGGGAUUAUGAAUUAGGAACUCCAUACAAAAGAGCCAUAAUUGCUUCUUUUGACAAGAUUGGAGCAUCCAGCAUUCUUCGCAAUGGCUCUUGGAAAUCGUCGCAAACUUCCGCAGUAAAAUUUUUGGCACCAAACCCGAUUCCUUUUGUGAAAAUCUCGAAUUUGUAGAUGAUAUUUAAAAAGGUUUUAAAGUGUUAGUCAAAAACUAAUUCUUAACUGAUAAAGUUAAAUAAUAAAUAUGUUCAGAAAUAUGUUAUAAAAUAUAGUAUACAUACUUUUAAGUUUGAAUAUGUGUAAGUUCAUCAUUUGGAAAAGACACGCUAGACACUCAAUUUUUAAUUGCUGAUUAAAGUUUACAUGAUUUUCGA